rnacentral:lncRNA from 1 species
UGGGCUUUUGAUGGUAGUUGAAAGCCUAGGAUUUCUCCCUCCUCCAUGUCUUUCUUUGUGUUCUGUUAGUUAUCAACCCACUCUUCCAAAGUUUAUAUAUAUGUGCCUGUGAAUUCUGACUUUGAUGGUCCUUGAAACACUACACAAUCUGCAGGCACCAUGCUCUGAAGUUAGAGGCUUCCACACCUUUGAUGAGGAUAAAUUGGGAUACAUGGAGAGAGUUGCAUACAUGAUGGUGGCUUUCCAAAGGCUCUUGCAAAAGGCUGGGGGG